rnacentral:rRNA from 1 species
AACGAACGCUGGCGGCAGGCCUAACACAUGCAAGUCGAGCGAGGACUUCGGUCCCAGCGGCGGACGGGUGAGUAACGCGUGGGAACGUGCCCUUUGCUUCGGAAUAGCCCUGGGAAACUGGGAGUAAUACCGGAUGAGCCCUUUGGGGGAAAGAUUUAUCGGCGAAGGAUCGGCCCGCGUUGGAUUAGGUAGUUGGUGGGGUAAUGGCCUACCAAGCCGACGAUCCAUAGCUGGUUUGAGAGGAUGAUCAGCCACACUGGGACUGAGACACGGCCCAGACUCCUACGGGAGGCAGCAGUGGGGAAUCUUAGACAAUGGGGGAAACCCUGAUCUAGCCAUGCCGCGUGAGCGAUGAAGGCCUUAGGGUUGUAAAGCUCUUUCAGCUGGGAAGAUAAUGACGGUACCAGCAGAAGAAGCCCCGGCUAACUCCGUG